AAAAUAGAGGAAGCUAUGUAAAGAGUACAAGAAGCACAGUCCCUAAUUUCGGCUGCUAUAGAACCAAAGAAGAAAGAAGGCAUUCAAGAUCAUCUUCUAAACACAGACAGUCAAGAAACAGAUCAAGAGAGCGAUCACAUUCUAAGUCUAGGAGUCGUUGAUCCAAAAGCCCAAGACAGAGAAGAUCUCAUUCCAGGGAGAGAGGUAGAAGAUCAAGGAGCACAUCAAAAACGAGAGACAAAAAGAAAUAAGACGAAAGAAACGUUCUAAAACACCACCAAAAAAUUACAGCAGAGCCAAACAUUGUAAAAGUACAAACAGAGAUGACAACGAAGAAGCAGGAGUGGAACAAGAUCUCCCAAAAAGUCGCAGUCUCCUAAAAGAAAAUUGUCUCUCUCACCAUCCCCUGGGAGACAUAAAAAGAAGAAAAAAGAUAGUAGGGAUGAAAGAGUAGGGAGAAAGAUAGUAGGGAUGAAAGAGAACGAUCAACAAACAAGAAGAGUAAAGAUAAGGAAAAGGAUCAGGAAAGAAAAUCAGAGAGUGAUAUAGAUGUAAAAGUUACACGGGUUUAUGAUGAAGAGGAACCGGGUUAUGACAGUAAGAAAGAGGAAAAAAGAAGAGAAGAAAGCAAUAGAAGCAGGUUCCCCUAAAACAAAGAAAUGUCCUGUGGAAAAGGGAACUGAUGAUUCACUAAGAGAAUCCAAAGUGAAUGGGAAUGAUCAUCAUGAAGAAGACAUGGGUAUGAGUGACUGAAUAUUGCCUCUAUGGGAAUCCAACUGUAUACAUGCAUCAGUGUCAUUCCUUUGUGUGAUUUCUGAGUGCUAUAUUUGUUCAUCUCAAACCUAGAUGUAUACAGCUCUGAGUUAUUAAUGGCUAUAAAGCUCCCGUUAUUGAUACUAAUUUACAUCAAAAAGCUUUUAGAAAAUGGUAUGACGUAAGCAAUUCUUGUCAUGGUGACAUCUGAUGGAGUAACCAAACAGUUUUACUCUUGGUGCUGCUUCAUAACAGAAAUGAAAAGCUGCAUGCUCCUACAGCAGGAAUGGAUUGUUUAUGUCAUAUAAUUUCCUUUAUUAAGUUCACUUAUAGUACUUCUAGAAUGUUAUGCAUCGGGUUAAUAGAGCCAUGUAGGAAAUGCACUGAUUGCAUGUUAUUGUGGCAAGAAUAUCCUAAAUGUCAUUAAAAUCCUCCAACAUGA